UAUUCGGAAUUAUUGGGCGUAAAGGGCGCGUAGGCUGGUUAAUAAGUUAAAAGUGAAUCCCGAGGCUUAACCUUGGAAUUGCUUUUAAAACUAUUAAUCUAGAGAUUGAAAGAGGAUAGAGGAAUUCCUGAUGUAGAGGUAAAAUUCGUAAAUAUUAGGAGGAACACCAGUGGCGAAGGCGUCUAUCUGGUUCAAAUCUGACGCUGAAGCGCGAAGGCGUGGGGAGCAAACAGGAUUAGAUACCCUGGUAGUCCACGCUGUAAACGAUGAGUGCUAAA
rnacentral:rRNA from 1 species